GUUGUUUGAGUGUGUUUUUCAGUGGCACGAACGAGAAUAUUGUUUGAAUCCGAAUCCGCACUCCAAGUGCACUUGAAGGAUAAUGCUACUCUGCAAUUUCCACGCCCCCCAACCGCCCACCGCCCAUAUUACACUUACAUCAGCAAUAAGCAGUUAGCUUCGUCGGUUGAUAUUCGGCUGUGUGUAUGUAUAUUCGAAAUGUAUGUAUAUAUGUACGGGGCGCGUAUGUAUAUUUACUACAAAACUGCCGUUGGUUUUGUGGUGUUAUUGGAAACUUUCACGUUUUACGCAGUAUUUUGCACUUGCAACUACUAUAUCCGCACUCACUGGCACACCGAAAUCUUUAUUUUCACCGUUUUCUUUUCUUUCAGUAGCUGGGGCUCCGUUCCCAAGUUCAGUUUAAGUUUAACGCUUAUUUCGAUCACUUUUCACUUGGCUCUCUUCCUUAACUAGAUCACACGGCUCGAAUUUAAGACAUUUUCUCCUCGGUAAAUUGCUACUGCUAUUCUAUUCACAAAUUUUUGGCGAGAGAACGUUUUCGUACAUCUUAACGCCGCCGCAAACAUUUUCGAUUAAAACAGCGAAACGCGACGGCCAGUCAGUUGGAGUCAGCAGAGAGAGCGAACAGAGUGUAAAACGAAGAGCGGGAGAGCGCGCGCGCAGUGUUGCUUUGGAAUUCAUUUUCUGCUGCUGCCGCAGCUAAAACAGGGUGGCAACUCAGCGGCGCAACAACUAAAAUCCUCCGUCGAGCGCAUUGAAAACACAGCAGUAGCUGACGGCAAAAAAAAAAUAGUUUAUAUAUCAUUCAUUACCUAUAAGCAAAUAAUCACAAUCAGUGGUUAUUUUUAUUAGCGGUGAGCGGUACCGCAUGCAAAUCGUCGCAAAAUGGCGCUUAGAAUUUGGAUAAGAAACGAAAUACGUGAAGCUUACGUAAGUGCGAGGACCAACAACAACGCUGGGAAGAGAGAAAACAAGUUGUUAAGCAAACAGGGUGUACCGUUGUCACCCAGCCAUGUGGUGGAAACGAUGAUCGGAGCAUCUGGGUGAGACACCCUGUUUGCGGCAAAGAGAGAGAGCGGCUGUGAGAGCAGCGCACUCACACAAGCGAAACGAGUAUACAGCGGAUAGCGACGUCGGCAGAGCGUUUUAGCCGACCAUUGCAGUACAUAUGUGAAAUCGACGAAACCGAAAAUCAGAAACCAAACGGACCACUAGCGAGCUACAACUCUGCCACGGCUACACUUUACACACUCAUGUACUCCUCCACCACCUCACUCGCCAGCGCACUCACACACAGACGCGUGCGUGCGGAGAGAGGAAGUAAAAAAUAUGAAGACAAAAAAAAGCAAGUGCAUCUCACCAUGACAAUGGCGGAACCAUAAAAACACAUGUUCCCAUCUCGAAUUGAACCGAAUUCGGCGGCCAGCUCCUUCACAAAAUAAAAUAAUACAGGAAAAAAAUCUGUAUACGCGCAAAAGUUGAGCUGCUAAAACAUGGAAACCUUGCAGUUAUCGAUUCGUCUCGCUCAUUGCGCAAUGAAAAAAAAUGCAGCGGGGGCGGCGGAUUCGAGAGAGCCUCUCUCUUUGUGAGCCACCUGCAGCGAUAGGAAAUGCAAAUCCAUCCGCCUUCCACUUUCCAGCUCGAAAGUUCAAAGUUCACAUGCAACUAACUACUGGGUGCAGCGCAUGUCCGAGGUGCACCGAAGUCCCUGGACCAAACAAAAAAAUGGCACAAACCAAACUCUCCGAUUUCCAGGCGCCGCAGGAAGGUUUGUUUGCCCUUCCAUUGGAUCUCGACGUCAUGAAAUGCGGCACUAGGAAAUAUUUACUGAAUACAACGCUGAUCAAGUGAUAUCUGAAAUGUGGUAAAGUGCUUCUUGUCACACGGACACGGAUCUCUAUAAAAAACCAAUUAGUUUGAUAUUCGUACGUGUUCUGCAAAUUAUCAGAUGUUUUUAACUCUCUUGAGUCACAUGAUAUUUAUUGUGAUAAAUACUUUUGGUUAUUUAUUGUUUGUUUGUCCUAAAAAAUUGACAACACAGAAAAUGGAAGACUUUUUAUUUAUUGCUUUACUAUAAAAUAUAUUCAUUUUUUUGAGAAAAAUGUUAAUAUGAAACUUAAAGUGUCUUUUUAACUUUAUUAUUAAUUCCCAUCAAAACUAUAAAUCUAUUUAUGGAUUAGAGAACCCUCCUCUUUAUGUAAAAGAUUAUUCACAAAUGUGCCGUUGAGCCAAAAUACGUGUUGUAUCAAAAUUAUAAGCAAUUGGAAAGUUUAUAAAUUAAAACAGCGAUUAUACAUUUGGGAAUAGAAAUAACACGAUAGAACACAACGGCUUCAGUCUUGUUUACUAAUUCAAUACUUAUCAAAAUGUUAAAAUAGUAUAUUCCAACAUUCAGUUCAACUCUUAAGUUUUAAUAAUAUUUCGUCAUUAUAUUGACUUGAAAAGGUUACAACUAAAUAUGUGUAAAAGUGUUCAACGUCUAAUACACUUCAACUUCGUUCCGACCAUCAAGUUCAAGAGACUUGUUCGUUGGCCUCUGGCUAAAAUACAAUUGCGAAUUGCAAACAAUUGGUUGGCGA